rnacentral:ncRNA from 2 species
GUAACUCGACCGGGGUGCCCACGCGGAUGGUCCGCGCGGGCUGAGAGAGUCCCGUAGAACCUGAUCCGGUUCGUACCGGCGUAGGGAGUCGCGAGUCGUCGGCG